CGGGAACACGCACGAGCUGAAUCCGCCUGAACCUAUGCAGGGGCGGGCGAAGCGAGACAAGGCGCGGCACGCGCUGCCAAACGUCACCGAACAUCAGUAUUUUUGCUUUUAACUGAGUCACAAGAGGUGAACUUCAAGGAACAUUUAAAGAAGUCUAGGUGGAUGGUCGGAAGGUGAGCGCAUAGAACUGAGAUGGCCAAAGGUGCAACCUUCAAAAUGGAACAAAGGAAGAGUUUGAUGUACAAGUAGCAGUGAGGUUCCAACACAAGCUGUUCUGAAUAAUUUAUCAACAUGUAUCGUCUGGCAAGAAAGAAACUAGAUGGGAACAACUUAUGACGUGCAAGUCAGAGCAGUUAAUUAGCGACUGUAGCUUGCGGCUUGCACCUCCAGCCUCGGACAUCAGUCAACAACAUUUCAGAAGAAUUUUCUAAGGCAGUAACUGCAUGACAACACCGACUCCCCCCAACCCUCAGCCUCCCAUGGACAUUGGCAUUGUCACUGCAUUGUUAAGUUACUUCUCUGGCCCACUUCGAAUACAGUUCUACACUUCAAUGAUGCAUUUUGGAGUACGACAGCAAGUCUCAUUGCAAUGCUGUUACCAGGACAAUGUUUGCUCACCGUCAGAGACUCUACUGAUGGAUUCAACCAGCAUCCACCUCAUGGCUUCUUGCUUGCUCUCUUAAUGCUCACUCACUCACUGUGCUUGCUUGGAUGUUUCAUGCACCAUUGCUUUGCUUUGCAUGCCUUGCCUCGUCUCAUUUGUGCUUUGCCCCCGCAGCCAAAUUCUAAAGGCUCAGUAAUUCUGUGUUGCCAUGUUGAAUAGAGCAAAUGUAAAGCAAAUAUUGCUGCACAUCACUAUGCUGCAUCAAUCUCACCUGCAUUGUGUGCUAGAAGCUUAUACAACAAGUACAUUGCAAAAAACAAAUGGCCAUGGAAAGAGGUAAGGCAGGAGGGAGGGUUGUCAAUAGCCAGCUCCACCUUGGUUUCAAUGGGCAACAAUACAGUACCACUGUCUGGCAAUGAGGAGUCAAUUUGCCUAGAUUUCAGGUAGCAAAGUCUGGAAAUUAACAGUGAAAUAAAUUAGCAAAGUGGAACACGAGGAACAUCAAUACCAAUACUCACUGUGUGAAGCAUCUCCAUAGGUUUCUUUCCAUCGUGUUGUAAAUAACAAGCAAAAAUGAAAAUCACUGCCACCACAUGCAGGGAAGCAGGUAUUUGUAUUUGUUUCUUCGAGGGACAGGGCUCCACUUCUGUGUAAUGUGAGGCAAAAGGCGAUAGUAGUAAACAGAUACUCACAGUACAGCUGAAAAGACACCUGCAAACACUCAACGUCACUCAUGAGACUUAGGUAUUGAUUUACUGUGUUGACUCCAAAUUCUGACCCUGAAGCAUUCUUCACCAUUUUGUGCUAUACCAAAAAUCAAUUCUACUAAUGGCUUAAAUGCACAAGCAACAUAAUACAACCUGGAAAGAUUGGUCCUGAUCAUCAAAGUAGCAAUCACCUUCAAAGAUCCCAUAGCCUGCACAUGGUGCACAAUUUGCUCACUGAGAGUUUAAAGUUAUAGAGGUCUACAGCACAGAAAAAGGCUCUUUGACUCACUGAGUCUGUGCCAGUCAAAAGCAACCACCUAACUAUUCUAAUCCCAUUUUCUAGCAUUUGACCCCCAGUCUUGUAUGCCUCGGUACUUCACUUCACAGCUUGGACCAUAAAACUUUGCUAAAAUGGCUAGGCUGUGCACCUUCAUUCUUGAGUUACAGCUAUGUAAAGACACUCGUUCACACAGCUGAAGAUAAGAAGUGAACAUGUUUUUACAAAUGUAAGAACUUGUUUACAGUGAAUCUUUGACUGUCUUGUUUACAAGCCUUAAAUCUGUCUUUUUCUUUCUUUCCCUCACACUAUGCCUUGGUACAGUAGCAGGGUCCACAACUGAGAUAGGAGAUGCCUCCCCAAUGGUAGAACCCCUGUUGGUGUUAGAGUUUGUUUGAAUGACCCCCAACUUCAUGUGCGUAUGCUCAGUGCCUCUGACGAACCUGCCUUCUCCUCUCUGCUUGCGCAUUUAGAUGAAGUUGUUCAUUGUCGGACUACCAGGCUGUGUGAGGUUAAGCAGGUUCCAGGUCUCUGGCAGUCACAUUGUCAUAGAGUUAUACAGAAUGGAAACAAACCCUUCAAUUCAAUUAAUCCACAAUGAUCAUGUUCCCAAAUUAAACUUGUCCUACUUGCCUGCAUUUGGCCCAUAUCGUUCCAAACCUUUUUACUCAUCUACUUACCAAAUGUCUUUUAAAUGUGUUGGAGCUAUCUGUAUCCAGCAGUUCCUCUGGCAGUUCAUUACACAUACGACACACUCUCUGUGUAAAAACGUUGCCUCAUGUCCUUUUUAAAACUUUCUCCUCUCACCUUAGAAAUGUCCCCUUGUUUUGAUCUCCCCCACCCUAGGAAAAAUACACUUGCUAUUCACCUUAUAUAUGCUGCUCAUGAUUUUAUAAUCUUCUACAAGGUUCCCCCCUCAAACUCCUACAGUCAAGUGGAAAAAGGUCUCAGCCUAUCCAGCCUAUUUUUAUAACUCAAACCCUCCACUCCCAGCAACAUCCUGGUAAUCUUUUCUGAACCCUCUCCAAUUUAAUAAUAUCCUUCCUGUAACAAGGCAACCAGAACUCCAUGCAGCACUCCAGAAGAGGCCUCAACAAUGGCCUGUCUAACAUCAACAUGAUCUCUCAACUUAACGGUAAACAUGCUAAAUGCUUUCUUAAGCUACCUGCGAUGCAAAUUUCAAAGAAUUAUGAACCUGAACCCCUCGGUCUCUCUGUUCUGCAACACUGCCUAGAGCUCCACCAUUAAUUGUAUAAGUACUGCCCUUGUUUGUUUUACCAAAAUGCAAUAUCCUGUACUUAUGCAAAUUAAACUCCAUUUGCCACUUGUCAGCCCAUUGACCCAAUUGAUCAAGAUCUCUGUAAUAUUAGAUAACUUUCUUCACCUUCCACUAUACCACUAAUUUGGUGUCAUCUGCAAACUUACUAAUGCUCAUCCAUGCCUCCUAAAUGAUUAUCUAAAUCCUCUGAGGGACACUGAGCUGGGUCUUCUUAACAUAUCUGCAGAGACAUGGCAAUGAAGUGUUCAACAGAAUGUCCUCCAGACUCUAAUGUAGAGAAAACGUCCAUCAAGAUGUUAGUAUCUGAGUUUGUGGAGGGAGCGGGAGGUAGAAUUGCAACUGCACCCUCUGAGGGAUCUGUAGAUUCUUCCUCAGAGUGGAGGAGGAGAUGUACUUCUGGGCCACCUUCCUGGGCUCAUAGCCCAUGCACUUGCCAAUUCUAUCAACAGGAGGAAAAUCAUUGAGAAUAAGGGUGGUAAGUUUGGGCAUGUUAAGAAAACAUCCAGAGUGAUGCUAAUAGGAGAGCAGCACAGCAAUAGACACUGAUUCUUUCCUGGUUGCUGGGUCAUGGAGGAUUGCCACUUGUUGGUUACUCUGCUCACUGAGCAGGCCUAGGAUUCUCUCCCCUCAGGGAAUGAGGAGCUGAAUGGCAGGGAUCCCAUCACCCAUCUUGGCUGUUUACAGCUGAUUGUGGGUCCUUUUCUUCUAAAAUGAACAGAGGGAGGGAUUGAGUGAGAUGAAAGUGGCUUACACAGCUGCUAGAUAACAAAGUGUG